rnacentral:rRNA from 1 species
GUCUAUGGCCAUGCCACCCUGAACAAGCCUGAUCCUAUCUGAUCUCGGAAGCUAAGCAGGGUCGGGCCUGGUUAGUACUUAGAUGGGAGACUACCUAGGCAUUAAAAUAAAAAAUAAAAAAAUAAGGGAUUAUAAACU